UGGGAACGCCCUAAACACGAUUAUCUUAAAACCGGGAACACCCUAAUCUGCCUUGGUCCUUGAGCAAGGUCACCUACAUUCAAUGUCACUGCAACAUGUCAGCAACAUGGGGUACGCUGGCAAGGAAAUUGUCAUACCUACUUGGCUAAUGGCUCCCAGCACCCCACCAGCUUAUCUCCCAUACAUCCUGAGCUGUACCCCAAUGAACUGCUUCUAAUGUGCAUGCUCCCCCGAGCCCUACCUCCACGUAGUUACUUUGGCUGCUGCUAUUCACUCUGGUGGAAAUACUUCUCUCUACAUCGUUCUCCUAACACUUCUCAGUAUACAGAACUCAAUUCCAGAGUUAUCUUCUCUGUGAAAGUCUUCCUUGACUUCCCUUAAACAGAAUAAGUAAGUAUUUCCCAUUCUACUGCCCUAAAACUUAUAUAUCUCAAUUAUAGCACUAUUUGCAUUGCAAUUGCUUAUAUUAGUAUUAUGACAUCAAUAACUGCACAAUCCUUAAGAGUGGGAGCUGUGCCUUUUUUUUAAACGUUCCCAGUGCCGUGUAGAGCACUUAGUUCUUAUGAGAAACCUGUAACUACACUCAGAAAGCAAGACGUCAAAGUUUUCAUGAGAGUCUGCAUUUCUAUAUUGACUCUACUUCAACAAAAUUUUCUGUUUCUUGGGGAACUACUUACUUACUUAAAGUCAGGGAUAACUACUUACCUGGCUCUCACCUUCAUGUUCUGGGGGAACACACUGCUCCAUUAUUCCCAGGUUAUGGGUCACUGGUGAUUGUUCUGUUUUAUGAUUCACCAGAGGCUGUUUCCAACCAUUUACUUGGGGCUCAAAAUCAUGAGUCACACAGCUAGUUCUUUACACUAGGAAAAAAAAUUGUACUCACCCCAUUUUUGGAAGUUCAGAGCUCCAUCAUUUCAAUUAAAUUAAUUUAGUGUUUGUCAAAGUUCCCCCAGCUACAGAUUGUACCUUGAAAUCUAAGAAAACGUUCUCUGUGAAGACUCCACAUUUUUAUUAAUAUAAUUUUUAAAGAAAAUUGCUUAUAUAACCCAGCCCUAAUCCAUCACGGAUAAGAUAUGAGGAGGGAAAAGAAGUAGAUUACAUAAUCUUGAAGCCAAAUUAGUCUGUAGUGGAAAUUUAUGAAGAGCACUACCUAAGUCAGACUCUAGUGUUUAAAUAUGUAGCAAAAACUUUAAUACUUCCCUAGCAUUAGGUUACAUAAUGGUAGGAAUACACUUAUUCCUGUCUUGUUUUCUUUUGUCUUUGCAUCUCAAAAAAAAAAAAAAGCACAAUUUCAAGAGAAUCUAUUGCUGAAAGAUUAAGAAGAUAAAGUUCAGGCUUCACAGUGUUAUUUAAGCAGAUAUUUUUGACCUCUCAAAAUUAGACCUUUUAGAGGUCAACCAUUCUAAUCCUUCUCUCUCUUUCAUCUGGAGUAAUUGAAACAAGUCAGAAGAAUGAGAAUCUGUCCUAUUUUUAAAAUCCUAGAAAAUAAAUCUCCAUUGGUAACUCAUUUCACUGUAUAGCAACCUUCUGGAACUUCCUUUUCUUGUGUUCUCUAAGGACCUCAUGUUUCCACCAAAGUCCUUUGCCUUCUUCUAAACCUGGACAACACCAUCCAUAAAACCACAUCUUCAUAUUGGAAUGCCUUUAGCUGCCUCCAAAAGAAAUGGAUUCAAAUGGACUUUGAGUCAACAAACUUAUCAUCUCUCUUUACAGCAAGUCUGUCAGGUGGGCUCUGGGGUUGUUUGGUUUUUGACUCAAGAAUAUCUUUGAGGAUGCACAUAUUUUCAUCUUCCCUUGACCAUCUAGAACUUGUUUCAAUCUCAGUCUGUAAGCAAGAUCUGGUCCAUAUCCAGAUAGGAUAAAAUCCUGAGGAAGAAGAAGAAUGGCCGCUUCUUCCCAAGUCUCCUUGGAAGGGAGGAAACAUCUUCUAGGACUCUUUAGCAAACUUCUCUUCAUGUUUCUUGGUCAGAAUUGGCUAUUCUUGGGCCAGGUUUUGACAAAGAAGAUAAAAUGUUUAUAACUGACCGAUCACAUGGUAUAAAUCACUAGGGCCACUACAUCUGCCUGUCAUUCCAUCCAGCAUUUUCUUCUGACUUCUGGUCCUCUCCUGUACCUUGUGCCAUGUCCUCCAUUAAGCAGGGAGGAAGGACCAAGAAGAGGACAAGAGAGCAAACACAUUGGAAAGCACAGAUAGCCUGAGAUUGUAGUGGGGAUAUGACAUAUAAAUUGGAGAACAGAAUUUAUGUCAUAUCCGCAUUGAUUAUGUAAGGGAGUAUGUUCCAUUUAACACUAAAAUGUUGUGACUAGACUGAUAGGAAGGAACAUUGGCAGUGAAGUCAGACAAAUCUGUCUGUCUUUAGAUGGAUUCAUUUAAUUGUAUGGAGACUAAAAUUCCUUGUGUGAAAAAUAUAAAUAAUAAUAGCCACCUGGUGGGAUGCUAUGAGUACUAUACAUAGUAUACAAAUAGUGUAUCACACCUAGCACUUUACAUGUAGUAAAUCACAGAAGAUAGUUUUCUAUAAUAAUGAGAAGGAAUUGGAGAUGCUGUGAACCCCGAGAAUUAGCAGCAGGGACCACGGAAAAACUGAAGAGCCGACUGAUGACCAUGAGGGGGUAACUGCUAGUACUGA
rnacentral:lncRNA from 1 species